rfam:Ancylostoma ceylanicum strain HY135 Acey_s0571_scaf, whole genome shotgun sequence.
CCAACGGCCCUCUUUAGGGCCACAAUCCUGCUCGAAUACAGAGACAU